rnacentral:lncRNA from 1 species
UAUUAAUAUAUCUUUAUUAUAUCAUCAUGAAUAAAUAAGAACAACAUCAGGUUACAUUUGUACCUUCAGCUCAACAGAAGGUGGAAAGUCCAAGCGUGACGCACAAGUGAAUACAAGUCAGCGUGAACAGUACAUGGAUACUGUUCAUCUAUUUAUAAGCACAGGGCGUAGCCUGUGUGAAAUUACAUUCAUGCCCUUCAUGCUUACUAUUGACCUAAGAACAAUCUGUCGGGGACAAGAUAGCCUUUUCCUCCUUAAGUCGGUUCCUUUUUCUGCUACUGAGCUGAAGCUCACUUGCGUAGCUUCGGCGCUGGUUCAGCCUUUGUUCCGACCCUGCUCCCAUAUUGUGUACAGCUUCAUCCUGUGUCCGAAGGUGCCUGUCUGCAUAUUACACUUGGGAAACAUUGUUAAUCAUGUUUUUGAGGACCUUCGAGAGACGAAGGCCCCCAACACUAAGUGUAAGUAAAUACCAAACCAUAAUAAUAACAAUAGAACAAAAUUAAUAAUAAACCCAUGCAUAUGCAAAUGACAAAUUGAGUUUAAGUUUCAUAAUUUAAUCAUGCGAGAGUCCUGAGCUGCUCAUGACCGUGAGCUCGGCUAGUAUACCAGUUUUACACUCUACAGAGGUUGUACCCUAUACCGACAAGUCGUGUAUCCCAUGUCGCCAGGGUUAGCUAGAUCCUUAGACACUUCUGAGGUGAAUGGCUAGGGAUCCACUACGAGGCCUUUAUAAAGUUCCACUAGCUUUCGAAAACCCACUACAGUUUAUGGGAAGAGCACUUGCAAGAAUCCCCCGUCUGACCGCCAUCGCAGCAAAAUCAACCUGAGAACCUCCUUGCAUGCAAUCCCCUACUGCCCUUGCCCCUUUCGGGUAAUGUAGUCUUCCACUAGCUUUCCUAGUUAGUUGGCCAAGGGAGUCCCAUUAAACCCUUGUGGUGGCCCGUGUUUCUCAAGUUAAGCUCCACGUUCCAAUUAACAUUUAAUGAUCUUGACAUGAACAUAAGUAAAAUAACAAAAUAACUGGAACAUGAAUAUAAUAUAAUAUUAUCCCAAAACCAUGUAAAGUAAUAGCAAAACUACCCAAGUGAUUAAGGGGUAAACAAGGUAAACAGGAUAAACAGACUAGGGUGACCUAUUGGGUCCCAUCAAAAUUAAACCUAUGCAUUGAAUAGUGAUAAUAAAGAACAUUAUUGGGUAACAAAAGUGGAUCAAGGGCACAACUUGCCUUCAAUGAGCUGCUGCUCAGCUACUUCUAUCUGAUGGGCACUAGGAUCCUCAAUCACAGGCUCUUCUACUCGCCACAAUACAAACAAGCACAGUAUAUAGAGACAAUUAACAUCACACUAAACAUAUAAACAAAAUACACAGUAAUAAUCUACACAUUAAAAUAAAAUCCUAGGAACAGGAAUCAUAAUUUUUGGAGUUAUAGAUUUUAAGAUAUGAAUUUCCAAAGGUUUUAUGUGCGUAAAAUAGGAUUAAGUGAGAAAUUAUUUUUCUUACUGUUUUCAUGUCAAAACAGAGACUCUAAGUGGUAGAGAAUAAUAUUACAAAAUUUUAGAAACUGGAAUGGGUCAAUUUGAACUAAAAAUGGAUUUUAUAUGAUUUAAUCAAGUUCUAGCAUAAAUUUUUUUUAUUAAAAAUCUAUUUUCCAAUUCAAUUAUUCAAUUUAAAACCGCACUGGACUGGGCCUCAUUUUCUGGAAAGUGCAGGGGUCACGGGGUAACUUUUCCUGGACACAGAGAACAGGGUCCCUACACUGCGGGUUGAAAUCUAGGAAGUAUAGGGUCUCUUUAGAAAGCGUGUAAGGCCGAAGGGGUAUCCAUCAAUGUGGACCGUUUGAUCUAAAAUCUGAGAUCCUGAUCAGAUGAGCCAAACCCUAUGGUCACAGCCGCCGGAUCCUAAUCGGACGUUCCUGGUGCUACCUAGCCUGGUCACACCCGCCUUUCACUCUCUGUCGUUGGAUCCGAGAUCCGUGUCUGGUAUCUGAUCACGCCACCGCUUGAUCUCGGCCGCAAGAUGGGAAUCACAUGUUGCAAAUCGCAUAGCGUGGAUGCGGUAUUCCCCGCCUAAUCACAGCCGUUAGUCUGAAAUCCCACGGACACUGACCUUCUUCUCCAUCGUUCGCAUGCACACAACGCGUCCCGACGCACCGGAGCUCUCACCGGCGACGGGGAGCGCCACCAAUCGUUCUCUUGCCAAAGCUCGUCCCCUCCCAGGCGCCCCAUCCAGGAUCCCGAAAUCCGAUGCUGCCCAACGCUAUACGCCGAGCAGCACCCAGGUUCUACCUCGGCCACACAUGAAUUGACGACGAGGAGAGAGAAAGGGAGUUUGAGGUGGUGCCAUACCGCAAGCUUGCCCGACCGUAAAGCUCCUGUUUGAACGCUCUCACACUCCCCCGUGGUCUCGCCCAGCAGCCGAGGGUAGGCGCAAGAAGCUCAGGAGGCGGUGGCGUGAUGAAGUCCCACAGCGGUGGCUAGUCCAAGCACCACACCGGUGGGUUCGAGACGUCAAUUUCUCCCAUGCUGGGCGGAAUUUG